GAUUGAAGAACGCAGCGAAAUGCGAUACGUAGUGUGAAUUGCAGAAUCCAGUGAACCAUCGAAUCUUUGAACGCAGAUUGCACCCAUUGGUACUCCGAUGGGUAUGCCUGUUUGAGUGUCAUGAACAAACUCAUUCCGAGGUUUAUUAAUUUAUUAAUUUAAACGUGGAGUGGACUUUGAGCUUGCGUUGGCUGGCUCGAAAUGUAGAGUGGUGAAGAGCGUGCCGAGUUUAACGUCAUAUCAUUUUCGCUAGACUUUGGCAAGUCGAUCUGGCCCUCGAACCUUCUCCAAUCCAAUCUUGGCCUCAAAUCAGGUAAGAGUACCCGCUGAACUUAAGCAUAUCAAUAAGCGGAGGA
rnacentral:misc_RNA from 1 species